CCAGUCCCGCCGAGGCAUCCCGCGCCGCACCGGGCCUGGCUGGGCUGGGGGCGCCGUUGCGACAGCCGGGAGGGGAGGCAGGGCCCAGGACGCGAGGUGGCGACAAGUCGCGUUUGGCCCCAGGGAGCCGGAUAUGAGUGGAAGAGAGAAGACCACUUGUUACUAGGCAACCAGCACCCGCCUCACCCAUGUUACCAUGGUGAUGAUGAAAGUUGGGCUGAUGGGAUUACCAGCUCCUGCUAAUUGCACAUGAGCACUCAAGGGGCUGUGGGGUCACCUUUUCCUCUCUCCCGCCACCCCAAAGCACCUGCAUUGUGUGUUAUGCAAUGAGAGAGCACCUUGGCCUGGACCUCAAGCGACGUUCUAG